rnacentral:rRNA from 1 species
UACGUAGGGUGCGAGCGUUAAUCGGAAUUACUGGGCGUAAAGCGUGCGCAGGCGGUUUUGUAAGACAGAUGUGAAAUCCCCGGGCUUAACCUGGGAAUGGCAUUUGGGACUGCAAGGCUUGAGUGCGGCAGAGGAGACUGGAAUUCCCGGUGUAGCAGUGAAAUGCGUAGAUAUCAGGAGGAAUACCGAUGGCGAAGGCAGGUCUCUGGGCUGACACUGACGCUCAUGCACGAAAGCGUGGGGAGCAAACAGG